GCUGCAGCAUACCUUUCCUGCUGCAGCUUCCCAACAAUAACAUUGAAAGAGGGGAAGGGUCUUGACAGGAGGCUGCUGUCUUUUAGGAGAGCUGGGUCCCUGGAUGUCAGAGCUGAGGGGGCAUGCAAACCAUGUGAGUAGCAGCCCACACCAGGCCCCGAGGUCUGCUAUCUGCCUGCCGCCCACUGCUGACCAGCGCUCACUGCCGCACGCUGCACCGCCACUGAAAUCUGACCACCGCAGACAACAACUGGCGGUGGUCAGAGGGACAUCAACGCCGCAGCAACGAAGGACAGCUUAGUACCGCCGCAUCCCCCGCAGACCAUGGGCUCAUCUGCCACCGACAACCACAGUGCCUUCCGCACCUCCGCUGCACAUAACAGGAGCUAAGUAGGAGACCUCUGUCUCCCGACAUGUCACUGUACAGCCUCACAUAGCCUUAGGACAUAGAGAUCUUGGUGGUCAUCUUGGGAUAGGACAUGGAGCAUUCCGGAAGUACAAGAAGACUGUCGUCAGCAGUAGCGCACUCCUCUUCUAACAUUAAAAUAAAGACAAGUACUGUAGCUCUCAGUCCAGCCAGUUUUCCUAGCUGACCCAGGUACUGUAUGUGGUUCAGAUAUCAAAAAAUCUGAAUCCACCCGAAAUCUUUGGAUCUGAACCGAACCAAGACCCAGUCCGGAUCUCCUGAGGAGAUCCAAUUUGAACCGUGACUCAGUUUGGAUCUUCCCGCGGUUCAGAAUGUACAUUUUAAAUCCGAAUUUUGGGGUUUGGAUAGGGGCGUGCACUGGCCCAUUUUUUGAGUUAUGUGUUUUGGUUUUGGAUCUUUGUCUCCUUCAUGUUUUGGAUCUGUAUUGGUUAUGCAAAAACCGCACUUGCAAGUUUUAGUUUUGGAUCUGUAUUUUAAAAAUAAUAAUAAAAAAACAGCUAAAAUAACAACAAAACAAUAUUGUUU